ACGAGAGGACCGGAGUGAACGAACCUCUGGUGUUCGGGUUGUCACGCCAGUGGCACUGCCCGGUAGCUAAGUUCGGAAUCGAUAACCGCUGAAAGCAUCUAAGCGGGAAGCGAGCCCUGAGAUGAGUCAUCCCUGACCCCUUGAGGGUCCUAAAGGGCCGUUGGAGACCACAACGUUGAUAGGCGGGGUGUGUAAGUGCAGCGAUGCAUUGAGCUAACCCGUACUAAUUACCCGUGAGGCUUAACCAUACAACACCCAAGAAGUGUUCUG
rnacentral:rRNA from 1 species